AUUGAACGCUGGCGGCAGGCCUAACACAUGCAAGUCGAACGAGUGGCGGACGGGUGAGUAAUGUCUGGGAAACUGCCUGAUGGAGGGGGAUAACUACUGGAAACGGUAGCUAAUACCGCAUACCAUCGGAUGUGCCCAGAUGGGAUUAGCUAGUAGGUGGGGUAAAGGCUCACCUAGGCGACGAUCCCUAGCUGGUCUGAGAGGAGGACCAGGCACACUGGAACUGAGACACGGUCCAGACACCUACGGGAGGCAGCUGUGUGGUAUAUUGCACAAUGGGCGCAAGCGUGAUGCAGCCAUGCCGAGGGUAUGAAGAAGGCAUUCGGGUUGUAAAGUACUUUCAGCGGGGAGGCGUUACCCGCAGAAGAAGCACCGGCUAACUCCGUGCCAGCAGCCGCGGUAAUAC
rnacentral:rRNA from 1 species